rnacentral:sRNA from 1 species
UUGGAUUUAGUAUAAUUUUAUCCGUAGAAAAGCUGAAACGGUGGCUAUCCUCGAAGGAGAUGGUGCUUAUGAGGGAUUUUUAACUCGUAUUCACAUCCUAAUAGAGCAGCCUUCGUGUCUGUCUCAGAUGCGUUACAGCUAAUGUUAGAUUUCGGCUCAUUUGUCGUUAUGUUAAUCUCAUUAG